rnacentral:tRNA from 1 species
AAGGAUUUAAGUUAAAAAAACUUUUAACCUUCAAAGUUAACUAUAGAAAUAUUUCUAAGCCUUA